AUCGUUUCUCGGCCUUUUGGCUAAGAUCAAGUGUAGAAAGAUGAGUGCUCCCAUCCCAAAGGAUGAAAUCUGCAUGCUUUUGGAAACCUUGGAUAAAUUGAUUUCUUUCUUUUUGCUAAUCCAAGUGGAGGUUUUAGGUUUGGUUUUUGUUUGUUUGUUUUCUUUUUUCCAACUCUGAGAGGACAAUAAAAAUUAGG